GACGAACGCUGGCGGCGUGCUUAACACAUGCAAGUCGAACGGUAAGGCCCUUCGGGGUACACGAGUGGCGAACGGGGGAGUAACACGUGGGUGAACUGCCCUGCACUUCGGGACACGCCUGGGAAACUGGGUCUAAUACCGGAUAGGAGCACUGCCGGCUUGGGUGGGGGUGGAAAGCUUUUGCGGUGUGGGAUGGGCCCGCGGCCUAUCAGCUUGUUUGUGGGGUGAUGUCCUACCAAGGCGACGACGGGUAGCCGGCCUGAGAGGGUGACCGGCCACACUGGGACUGAGAUACGGCCCAGACUCCUACGGGAGGCAGCAGUGGGGAAUAUUGCACAAUGGGCGCAAGCCUGAUGCAGCGACGCCGCGUGAGGGAUGACGGCCUUCGGGUUGUAAACCUCUUUCAGCACCGACGAAGCGCAAGUGACGGUAGGUGCAGAAGAAGGACCGGCCAACUACGUGCCAGCCGCCGCAGUAA
rnacentral:rRNA from 1 species